rnacentral:rRNA from 1 species
GACGAACGCUGGCGGCGUGCUUAACACAUGCAAGUCGAACGGAAAGGCCCUGCUUUUGUGGGGUGCUUGAUUGGCGAACGGGUGAGUAACACGUGAGUAACCUGCCCUUGACUUUGGGAUAACUUCAGGAAACUGGGGCUAAUACCGGAUAGGAGCUCCUGCUGCAUGGUGGGGGUUGGAAAGUUUCGGCGGUUGUGGAUGGUCUCGCGGCUUAUCAGCUUGUUGGUGGGGUAGUGGCUUACCAAGGCUUGGCCGGGUAGCCGGCCUGAGAGGGUGGCCGGCCACAUUGGGACUGAGAUACGGCCCAGACUCCUACGGGAGGCAGCAGUGGGGAAUAUUGCACAGUGGGCGGAAGCCUGAUGCAGCAACGCCGCGUGCGGGAUGACGGCCUUCGGGUUAUAAACCGCUUUGGCCUGUGACGAAGCGUGAGUGACGGUAAUGGGUAAAGAAGCACCGGCUAACUACGUG